GACGAGCGCUGGCGGCGUGCUUAACACAUGCAAGUCGUACGGUAAGGCCCUUUCGGGGGUACACGAGUGGCGAACGGGUGAGUAACACGUGAGUAACCUGCCCACAACUUUGGGAUAACGCUAGGAAACUGGUGCUAAUACUGGAUAUGUGCUCCUGCUGCAUGGUGGGGGUUGGAAAGCUCCGGCGGUUGUGGAUGGACUCGCGGCCUAUCAGCUUGUUGGUGGGGUAGUGGCCUACCAAGGCGGCGACGGGUAGCCGGCCUGAGAGGGUGACCGGCCACAUUGGGACUGAGAUACGGCCCAGACUCCUACGGGAGGCAGAGGUGGGGAAUAUUGCACAAUGGGCGCAAGCCUGAUGCAGCAACGCCGCGUGCGGGAUGACGGCCUUCGGGUUGUAAACCGCUUUCAGCAGGGACGAAGCUUUUUGUGACGGUACCUGCAGAAGAAGCACCGGCUAACUACGUG
rnacentral:rRNA from 1 species